CGAAAAGAUUACUUCCGGUAUCUCGCUUCCGUUUGCAAGCUUGCGAAAGUUUUACGAGGUGAAGGUACUGACGAAUAAUAGUAAUGGCUGACUUUGGAUAUGCUCGAUAUGGGGAGGAUGACGAAGAUCAGGAAGAUGAUGACUUUGACCCACAGUUUCGGUUUGGAAGCCGAGAUGGUCUGAUCUUCUUGGUGGACUGCACGAAGGACAUGUUUGACUGUGAUGAUGACGAUGAGGAAUCUCACUUCCAAGUCUGUAUGAGGUGUGUACAGACUUGCAUGCAGAACAAGAUCAUAGGCAGUGACAAGGAUUUCAUGGGUGUUGUCUUCUUUGGAACAGACAAAAGUGAAAAUCCAACUGAUUUCAAACGUAUCUACAUCUACCAGACUCUGGACCAGCCGGGUGCUCCGCGUAUUCUAGAGCUUGAGGAGCUACAAGAGAAGGGUUUCAAGAAGUUUGGCACCAAGUAUGGUCACAGCGAUGCCUUCUCCCUCAGUGAGGCUCUGUGGACAUGUGCUAGCAUGUUCUCAAACUGCACCCAGAAGAUCAACUACAAGAGAGUGAUGCUGUUCACCAACAAUGAUGAUCCACAUGCAGGAAAUGCUCAAUAUCAGCGCCAGGCUAAGACAAAAGCAAGUGACCUUCAUGAGACUGGGAUUGACCUUGAACUGAUGCACAUGCAGAAGCCAGGGGAGAGGUUUGAUGUGUCCAAGUUCUACAAGGAUCUUCUGUACGCAGAUGAUGAUGAGCUCACAGAGUUACCUGACCCUGCUGAGAGGUUGGAAGAACUGCUCACCAGAGUACGAUCUAAGGACCACAAGAAGAGGGCGCUCCGUAGGAUUCCUUUCUCUCUUGGAGAUGGCCUGGACUUCUCUGUUGGAGUGUACAAUCUUGUUCGGAGUUGUCCUAAACCAUCAGCUGUGAAGCUGUCUCGGGACACAAACGAGGAACUAAAAAGUCACUCCAAGACAUACCUGGAGGAUACUGGAGAAGUUCUGAUGCCACAAGAUCUAAAGAAAGCUCAGACCUAUGGCAGUAGGAGAAUCUGUUUUGAAAAUGAUGAGGUGACUGAGAUUCGCAGGUUCGGCUCUUCAGGACUCACGCUGAUGGGGUUCAAACCUCGGAGCUCUAUAAAGAAGCACCACCAUGUUAAACCAGCCUCCUUCAUAUACCCGGAUGAGAGUACUUACGCUGGUAGCAUGACCGUGUUCACAGCUCUCUUGCGGAAAUGUCUGGACCGUGACGUUGCACCCAUCUGUAAAUACAUUCCUGGAAAAAACAAUCCGCCCAAGUUUGUUGCUUUGAUGCCUCAGGAGGAGGAAGUUGAUGAACACAAAGUACAGACCAUUCCACCAGGGUUCCACGUCAUCUUCCUGCCCUUCGCCGACGACUUCCGCAAAGUCCCUGCCGAGGACUGUCCAAGAGCAACUACAGAGCAGAUUGACAAGGCCAAGGAUGUGAUCAAAAAGCUGCAGUUUAAGUUCUCCAGUGAGUCCUUCGAGAACCCAGUCCUGCAGAACCAUUGGCGGAACAUAGAAGCUCUGGCACUGGACCGGGAUGUUCCAGAUGAAUUGGUCGACUAUACCAAGCCCAAUGAUGAAAAGAUGAAGAAGCGUGCUGGACACACUAUUGAUGAUUUCAAAGACCUUGUGUUCCCUGAAGACUAUGUCCCGGGGGCCAAGAGGAAGGCAGCCCCGAGUGAGUCAGCAGCUGCCAAGGCCGCCAAGCUCGCUACAGCGAUGGUGGACCUCGACAUCAAGAAGGAGGCCCAGGCUGGCCGGCUGGGUAAACUAACUGUGGCAGUGCUGAAGGAGUUUAUCAAGAAAGAGAAGAUCCCAUCAUCAGGAUCAAAGAAGGCCGACUUGAUUGAUGCCAUCAGUGCCCACUAUGGCGUGGAGUGACAGCGUUGUUGGCAACUCAAGUCCUCACAUGGAGACUCGGUUUGACUUGUCUUGAAAGUGUUGUCAUGUAGUCUGUUAAAAAAUAGUGACAGUUGAACUACACACCAUAUAGCAAUGUUCCUACCUUUGGAUUCGUACAAGUUUAUUGCAUCAUGGACUGGUUCCACAACUGAUAUUAGCUCCACAACUGGCAUUAAUAGAAACUUGUCAAAACUGUUAGCUGAUAGCUCUGUUGAACAGAACUCAGCACUUAAAAGAAUGUAAGAAACAUAAUGUAAGCAUGAGGUUGUUUUAUUUAAUGAUUACGUUUCAAGGUAUGUGGUAUGAAAUAUCAAGGAUUUCAUCAUCAAAUUCGGUGUUCACCUGGUGGCGAUUUCUGUACAAAGGGACAUAACUCAGUACCCACUACACGUCUCCAGACAUUUGUUGGUUUCAUUGGGAACAUUUCCAUAUGGGUUUAGCAGUUUUUACUCAUUCUGUUGUUCUUUGUGGCAUUUCUAUGUUUAUAGAAAUAAACGUGUUUCCUAAA
rnacentral:misc_RNA from 1 species